UACAGAGGGUGCGAGCGUUGUCCGGAAUUACUGGGCGUAAAGGGCGCGUAGGCGGCUUGGUAAGUCGGGGGUGAAAGUCAGCGGCUCAACCGCUGGACUGCCUUCGAGACUGCCUGGCUUGAGCAUGGUAGAGGCUGGCGGAAUUCCCGGUGUAGCGGUGGAAUGCGUAGAGAUCGGGAAGAACAUCGGUGGCGAAGGCGGCCAGCUGGGCCAUUGCUGACGCUGAGGAGCGAAAGCGUGGGGAGCGAACAGG
rnacentral:rRNA from 1 species